AUUCUUUUUGUUUCUUCUAAACGGCGUCGUCAAACAUUCCUCCCCUUUCGUUAAAUCUGAAAUCAAUGAACCCUAGGCUACCCCCCCCCUUCCCCAUUGCCUCACUCACAUCUCCCUAAUGGCAUCUGAUCUGAGAGACUGAGACAGAUCUCUUGAGUGUUGAGAGUCGAGUGUCUGAGACCAAAAACAAAUUCAUCAAUUGGCCUCAACAGUCACCGCCGAACGUCGUCGUCACUCUCCGCGGCGUUCGUCACUCUCCCGGCCGUCACUGCUUCUCCCCUCACCUCGCCGUGUUCGUUGUUAUAUUGGUCAUUUGUGGGUUGUGCUUCUUCUGCUUCUACUUCGUUGCUUUUGCUUCUGUGGUUUGUGGGUGCCUCACAUCGCCAAACCCUCAUCAGACGAGGUCACUCUCUGCGGCGUCGUUACUUCUCCCGGGCGUCACUGCUUCUCCCCUCACCUCGCCGUCAGAAAGCUCAGCAACAAUUCCUCUUCUGCCUUAGUGCCUCUGCUCCCUCAGAGAAGGAGGCCAGGUCGACAGAGAAAAUAAGAGGAAUAAGGCUACAGCGGUGAUAGAGGCCACUGCCGAUGUUGGAUCCGCAGAGCUGCGUCCACCGUAGAACGACGUCGCAGCCGUUCCUUUGCCAGUGGGUGCUGCGAAUGAAGGAUGAAGAUAGAUUAGGAGAUGUCGAUGUCGGCAAUGGUGGAGCUGGCAGCAAUUUCCUAUCCUCGCCAUUGACACCUAUGAAAUGAUGCAACAAAAGAGGGAAGCCCACAGCGACAAGCUUUUGGUGGUUUGAAGUCACUCUCUCAAAGAAUCAGAAGGGCCAAGGAAAAGUCAAUCAUCUUGGGACUGGAAUCAUAGUGCAGGAUUUCAAGACAUAUAAACGAGUUGCAGCUGAAAGUGUUGUCGUAAAUGGUUCUGUAAUUCACAGAUGGAGCAUGCAAAAGAUGGUUUUGAUGUGAAUGAUUAUGGUGACGAGCAUGAGAAGGAAUAAGGAAAAGAGGAAGAAGAUGGAAAGGAGGGAACAGCUAAGAAAGACCAAAGUGGAUGGAAUAAUGAUGACAUGGAACAACUUGAGAAGUAUAUAAGAAUCUUCAUCACCACGAGCUGAAUUGAUAUGUGCGUAUGUACGGAAAAAAAAAAAAGAAAAGAAAAGGGGCACUGAUCAUAUAAAUAAUGUGAGCCUACUAUCAUUUUUGACCUCCCGAAAAGAUUUAAUUUUUGACAAAAUAUUUUUAAAAGCACCAAACAUGGCCUUUUUUGUUUUAUAAUUUAUUUGUAGAGUUUAAUUCCUUUGCUUUUGCAGUGUAAAGAUUUUUGCUAUUAUUAUUUUGUAGUGCUCAAUUUCUCUGCUUUUACAGCAUUUAAGAGUUUUUUUUUUCCCAAAAGAAGUUGUGGCAUUUAUGGUACAUACAACAAUCUAACACAAUACUGAAAUAAAUAGACAAGUUUUGAAAACCAAUAAAAAUAUUUGUCAGGAUGAAACUAUGCACUUUGAUAUUUUCACAUUGUGAAGAUAAUUUUAACAAGAUGAGCUGAUUUUAUAAUAAGAUCGACAUUCAGACAAUAAGUCUAACGGAAAAAAGUAUUUUUUUUUAAGUUGAAAAUAAUGUAUGCUACUCCUGAAAAAUAUCUAUUUUAUUGUUCUCAACAAAAUAGAUUCAGAAUAAUGAAUAUAUAGGUAAUUUUUUAUUCUUACUGUUAGUUGAAUUUGGUGGUUUAUGGAAGGACUUGAAGUUAAUAUCUAUCUAAUUGAUUUCACGACCAAGGAUUCACCCUCGACUUAAAGCUAAGAUCAAAGGUGUACUUGUCCUGCAGUUUAUUGACAAUACUAUUUUAUGUUGUAUUAUCUGGCAAGGGUUUACACUACUAACACAAACUUAAAGCAGAAACGCCUUACUUUGUCAACUCCAUAAAGCUGUUUGAGAAUAUUGGUUGCUGGAAAAUGACAACGGAGAAAAAGAGAAAGGAGCUGCUCUUGCUCGGUUAAUCACCUGAAGAUAUAAGUAAAGCAUCGCAAAAUUGUCUUCCAAAAUAUACCAAGCUUCCAGGCAACUGCAGAAGAGGUGGAUCUCAACAAUGAUGCUCAGGUCUGGUACAUGGGCGCGUUUCUAUAUGGCUGGCAAUAGGGCUACUUGUUUAUGUAUUUUAUGGCCGAACCCACAGCACGCUGAAGGACGCAGUUUAUGUGCUGGUGGCGCAAGUGGAUGACGCAUCGAUAAGUUGUCUUGCUUAAUCUUGGUAGCAGCCCAAACUGCAGCUCCACUUUUGUUGUAUAUAUCUGUAAUUUCUGUACAGAAAAUGCAUAUAAUAUCGAGAUUCAAUAGUUUAGCAAUUGUAGUGUGGAAUAUGAUUUCCUUUAGCAACAGUUAACUACGGCUGUAAUAUUCAUUUUAUACGGAUUGUAAAUGCAAAUAUAAUUUAAAAAGUUAAUAACGCAAAUGAGCAAACAUCUCCUCAGAUUUCAAAUUUUCAUUCCGUAUUGAUGUAGCCAAAUCUUGACACUAGAGUGAUUUCCAGGGCAAUUAGAAUGUUUAAUCUGUUUUUCUUUUGUCACUAUUGCUUAUUCACAUAUAGUCAAGAAGUAAUGUAGAGAUGCAAAAGUGGUCAUCAUUAUGAAACCAGAGAACUAUUACAUUAGAAGUAUUUCAUUGUUGAAAUGCUGAGGAAGGGCUAAUGUUCACUCUAGUUCUUGUAAGUAUACUCGUGAUGUAAGAUAUUUUGAUCCCUGGUUUUAAUGAGAAAUAAAAUAGCAA